CAACCAGUCUGCAGCAGUACUGGAUGUUGCAAUGCAGUUCCAGACUUUCCCCAGGCUCCUUGUGGAGUGACCAGAGCUUUACCUACAGUUGCAGAGCCCCAUUUUGAGGGAAACUGGGCUUUUUCCCCCCAGAAACACAACCCACAAAUACCAAGAUCCCAUAAAGGGAGAGGGAAAGGUGUCCACUGGAAGCAGAGGCUUGCAGCAGCUGCCCACUGCUGGGAACUCAGAAAAGAAACCAGGACUCUAAAGAUUCGAGUACAGACAGUCAGCAAAAUGUCCUGCAAGAGAAUCCCAGUUCUGCCAAGCCCUAACAACACACCAGAGGAUCCUUUGGCUGUUAUCUCUGAUGGUCUCUGAAACGCCCUCUGCUGAAGUCUGCGGUGUGCCUCCACCACUCCUUCCACAGGCUAAGGACCUGCUCCCAGAGCUGUGGAGUGUGACAAUGGUGUUUGUGUCCAGUCUAUCAAACGCCAUUAUCACACUAAAUAGUUCCUGGCAGACAAGGCAUCGGGUCAGGAAGAUUUGGGACCUCUGGCAGUACAUCCUCCCACUGUGCUGAGGAAUAAACAACCGUGGUACGUGCACAGCAGGAUGACUCUGCUCCUUCUUUUAAGAGGCAAAAGCACCAGAAUAUGUGAGAAAUCCAUACUCUCACACAUGCACUUCCAGAUCCCCAUUGUAAAGCACACCAGACAUCUUAAAGAAUCAUCACUAUACUGUCAUCAUUAGUAAUGUGGAUUUCCUUGGCAUUAAUAGGGCUGUGUUUACCUCUGAGAGGUCAGCUUGUGAUUUUCAUUGAACUGACCAGGACAAUAAAACUGAAGGCAAUUA